rnacentral:rRNA from 1 species
AACUUUCNACCACGGAUCUCUUGGCUCUCGCAUCGAUGAAGAACGCAGCGAAAUGCGAUAAGUAAUGUGAAUUGCAGAAUUCAGUGAAUCAUCGAAUCUUUGAACGCACCUUGCGCUCUUUGGUAUUCCGAAGAGCAUGCCUGUUUGAGUGUCA